rnacentral:rRNA from 1 species
GUGCCAGCCGCCGCGGUAAUACGGGGGGUGCGAGCGUUGUUCGGAAUUAUUGGGCGUAAAGGGCGCGCAGGCGGUUUUUUAAGUCUGAUGUGAAAGCCCCGGGCUUACCCCGGGAAGUGCAUUGGAUACUGGGAGACUUGAGUACGGGAGAGGAGAGCGGAAUUCCUGGUGUAGGGGUGAAAUCCGUAGAUAUCAGGAAGAACAUCGGUGGCGAAGGCGGCUCUCUGGACCGAUACUGACGCUGAGGCGCGAAAGCAUGGGGAGCAAACAGGAUUAGAUACCCUGGUAGUCC